rnacentral:rRNA from 1 species
UACGUAGGCAGCAAGCGUUGUUCGGAGUUACUGGGCGUAAAGGGUGUGUAGGCGGUUCCUUAAGUUUGCUGUGAAAUCUCCCGGCUUAACCGGGAGGGUGCGGUGAAUACUGAGGGACUAGAGUACGGGAGAGGAAAGUGGAAUUCCUGGUGUAGCGGUGGAAUGCGUAGAUAUCAGGAGGAACACCGGUGGUGUAGACGGCUUUCUGGACCGUAACUGACGCUGAGACACGAAAGCGUGGGUAGCAAACAGG